CCCACGCCCACUCUCAGGCCCCGCCCCUGCCCGCCCAAGGCUGCAGGAUACGACGCCGUCGAAGGCUUCUCCGCACCACUGGAGGAUCUGCCGCAGGCGCGUGCGGGUGCUGCCCGCCUGCCUGGCUCUCCCGAUCAGGGCUGAGUAAGUGGCGAAGAGGACGCCCUCUGAGUUCUCUACGAUGAUACCGGCCACCGUGCGGCCCUUGCCGACGCCGGCCCCAUCGCCGAUGAGGAAACCCGCGCGCUGACCACUGGGCAGCAAGAUCUCGUGUUGCUGCGGCCAGAGGGGGUGCUGAGCAGUGUCUCUGGCUUCUACUAGUUCCACACCAGGCGUUCCACCAGUGCUACAGCCACACACAUCUCCAGACACUGCCCAGGGCGUGGGGGGCCAAAGAGCCUGGGGUAAGAAUUUGUAACCAAAACUGCUUUUGUUGGGGGUGGGGAGGGGAGUUUGAGACAAGGUCUCGCUAUGUAGCCCAGGCUGGCCUUGAGCUCAUAAUCCUCCUGCCUUGUCCUCAGAAAGCUAGUAUUACAGGUACGCCCCACCAAACCUGGCUCAAAAAUGGAUUUUUGCUUCUCUACUGGGUACACCUGUUCACAGCAGAGGAGGGCUAGACAUUUGUCAGAGAGGGGUGGGGGCCACGGAAUUCAAGGGCUUCGGGGAGGCGACCCCAUCCCUGGGCUGCACAGGAUACAUGAGCACAUACAUCUGUGAGCGGCUGUGGCCCCUCAUGCCCCCGCCUGGCCUAGGGGUGGCUCUGGUUGGGGUGCCUGCACACUAACCUUGUCAUGGGUAGAUGAGGCAGUGCUCACGUCCCAGAUGGUGGGCACCUGGCUAAGGCUGUCUGCUGGCAGAAAAUCAGGUGUGUCCACGAUGUCCGACAGGGAAUCCACUGAUGAGGAGAAGAUGGAGGCAUUGGAGAGGUCUUCGAAGUAGGAGUCCUGGAAAACAGGCCUUGGUGAGGAGGCGGCCAGGUGUGCAGGGUGGGGGGCAAAGAGCGCUGAGGUCCAACCAUGUGGUGGAAUAUUACUCAGCCAGAAAAAGGAGUGAGGCUGACACUCAACACAGUGUGGAUGGACCUUGAGGACACCAUGCUCGGCGAGGAACGCCAGACAGAAGGACACACAGUGUGGGCUCCAUGGACAGGAAAUGCCUAGGACAGGCAACUCCAGAGACAGGAAGUGGAUCUGUGGGUGCUGUGGCUGGAGAUGGGAUGGGGGUGAUAGGUCAUGGGGAACCGAAAAACGGGCGAUGAAAGUGUUCUCAAACUGUUGCUUACAGAGCCAUGAAUACAUUAAAAUUACUGAAUUAUGUGUUUUAAACAAAUGAAUUAUAUAUGAAUUACAUCUCAAUCAAGUUAUCUAAAAGAAAAAAAAACAACCAAGACUCCAAGUCUGCAAAGCCCGGCACAGGGAGCAGCUCAGCAGGGGUGAGGGUGGACAAGGGGACCC
rnacentral:lncRNA from 1 species